rnacentral:rRNA from 1 species
AUUGAACGCUGGCGGCAGGCCUAACACAUGCAAGUCGAACGAGUGGCGGACGGGUGAGUAAUGUCUGGGAAACUGCCCGAUGGAGGGGGAUAACUACUGGAAACGGUAGCUAAUACCGCAUACCAUCGGAUGUGCCCAGAUGGGAUUAGCUAGUAGGGGGGGUAACGGCUCACCUAGGCGACGAUCCCUAGCUGGUCUGAGAGGAUGACCAGCUACCCUGGAACUGAGCCCCUGUCCAGACUCCGACGGGAGGCAGCAGUGGGGAAGAGUGCACAAUGGGCGCAAGCCUGAUGCAGCCAUGCCGCGUGGAUGAAGAAGGCCUUCGGGUUGUAAAGUACUUUCAGCGGGGAGGCGUUACCCGCAUAAGAAGCACCGGCUAACUCCGUGCCAGCAGCCGCGGUAAUUC